UUCUUUUUUUUUAACUUUACGCUCUUCUCUGAGCAGCAGCUUUUUUAAGUAAAUCAUCAGGAUUACCCUUUCCUGGAUGAGCUUCAAAUUUCCUUAGCGAAUGACAGGAAAAUGUUCAAUGGGAAAGCCUACCACCCGAAGUACUUGAGUCCAGAACAGAGAGAAAACAUAGCUUCAGUAUUUUACUGGAAUCUGAGUUAAGAAAUAGGGAUCACAGAACAAAUAGCAAACAGCAGCUUGAGUAACAUCAGAAUGAAAAGAAAACGAUGAACCAGGAUUUGCAACCUGAACUAUUAGGCAAUAUGGCUAAGGGAGCUAAGAAGAUACCUCUUACACAUUUUAAAAAAAAAAUCCUCUAGAGUUUAAAAUAAAAGGAAUUCAUUUAGAAGAUUAUUGAUGCUUACAGAUAAAUGUCACAAUUUUGCUCUUCAGGGAAUCCUUUUGCAAAUAAACUGACACUUCCAUCUUGGCAAUUAUUAACUUGCCCCAUUUCUCUAACUAAG